rnacentral:rRNA from 1 species
CAGUCGAGCGAUGGAUUAAGAGCUUGCUCUUAUGAAGUUAGCGGCGGACGGGAGAGAAACACGUGGGUAACCUGCCCAUAAGACUGGGAUAACUCCGGGAAACCGGGGCUAAUACCGGAUAACAUUUUGAACCGCAUGGUUCGAAAUUGAAAGGCGGCUUCGGCUGUCACUUAUGGAUGGACCCGCGUCGCAUUAGCUAGUUGGUGAGGUAACGGCUCACCAAGGCAACGAUGCGUAGCCGACCUGAGAGGGUGAUCGGCCACACUGGGACUGAGACACGGCCCAGACUCCUACGGGAGGCAGCAGUAGGGAAUCUUCCGCAAUGGACGAAAGUCUGACGGAGCAACGCCGCGUGAGUGAUGAAGGCUUUCGGGUCGUAAAACUCUGUUGUUAGGGAAGAACAAGUGCUAGUUGAAUAAUUUUGCACCUUGACGGUACCUAACCAGAAAGCCACGGCUAACUACGUGCCAGCAGCCGCGGUAAUACGUAGGUGGCAAGCGUUAUCCGGAAUUAUUGGGCGUAAAGCGCGCGCAGGUGGUUUCUUAAGUCUGAUGUGAAAGCCCACGGCUCACCCGUGGAGGGUCAUUGGGAAACUGGGA